rnacentral:rRNA from 1 species
UAAGGAAUAUUGGUCAAUGGACGCAAGUCUGAACCAGCCAUGCCGCGUGAAGGAUGAAGGUACUCUGGAUUGUAAACUUCUUUUAUCUGGGACGAAAACGGGAUUUUUAUCUCAAUUGACGGUACCAGAGGAAUAAGCACCGGCUAACUCCGUGCCAGCAGCCGCGGUAAUACGGAGGGUGCGAGCGUUAUCCGGAUUUACUGGGUUUAAAGGGUGCGUAGGUGGGCUUAUAAGUCAGUGGUGAAAUCUCCGAGCUUAACUUGGAAACUGCCGUUGAUACUAUAGGUCUUGAAUUAUCUGGAGGUAAGCGGAAUAUGUCAUGUAGCGGUGAAAUGCUUAGAUAUGACAUAGAACACCAAUUGCGAAGGCGGCUUACUACAUAUAAAUUGACGCUGAGGCACGAAAGCGUGGGGAUCAAACA